AUCUAAUCCACCGCAACCCAGAGAAAGCUACUUAGAGAUUUGUGAGCACAGAGUCUAACCAACUUUCUGAGGUCAUCCAUAAUUUGUUUCACAAAGUGAUCAACCAAGACAUCGUCGUUACCUUCAAAAGAGAUUCCUAGCUUUUUAUAGAAGUCAACAGUAGCCAAGACUUUGCCUAAAAGACUAUAAGGAGAAACCGAUUUAGAAGAAAUGAGGGCGUUCAUACGCCUAAUUAAUAUCACUGUCAGUGGCCACAACCACACUCUGAGGAUUUCGACUCGAGCAAUGAAUCAGAAGACCCUUUCUUAGAAUUGCCUGACGCCUUUCCUUGUGAUUUUCUAAUUUUUUGAGUUUUACGUUUUCCUCCAGCAAAUAAUUUGAGUAAAAGCCCUAUAAGUUCGUGAUGGGCCUGCUGCACUUUCUUCGUUUAUGGACCCUGUUAGACUUAAGCACGCUUAGAGGAACAUUACUCUCGACGGCCAAAGUGGAAUGGGCUGGGUUUUUACUGGGCUACAUAAUGAAAUAGGCCCACCAUAUGUCACAACAGCAAAGGAAACAAAACAAG
rnacentral:misc_RNA from 1 species